GGCAGGAAGGCGCAGGGUGCGCGUCGGCUUCUCAUAAACCUCCGUGACGUCAAUAUAUAAGCCAAAGGUCCCUCCCUGUUCGACUCGGGGUCCUGCCA